GUCGCUGCCCUGGCAACGGCCACUUAACGGCCACAGCCGCUCUCGAGAGAGCUGCCGGGCUGCUCUGUGACCUCGGGGUUCCCUGGAACCAGUCGAAACACCCCUGUACCUCGCGAUCGGUCGCUGCGGUUCUGGGACAGCUCCGGAGCAGCGAACCUCAGCGAUCAAGGUACCAGUAUAGCUUUUCCCUUCUGGAAUUUGAACAUUAGGAGGCAUAUAUUAGGAAGGAUUUAAAAGAAUUUAGUCAAACAGCAUUUCCAAAUCGGGGACCUGAGCCUGAGCACAUUAAUUUAACAGCCAUGGAUGGAGUUUUAAAAUAAACAAACAAACAAACAAAAAACCCACAGAAGAAAAAAGAAGUGCAAAAGAGAGAAAGUUAGAAGGAAAGAAGGAAGGAAAGAAAGAACGAAGACUGCCUGGCUCGCCAUAGCUUCUCCAGUUGACACCUCUUGGACUGACAAGGAUGACUGUUGCCACUAUCCUGAGCUGUUUGCAUGGCAACUGCUGACCUGCAAUGCAUCAUGGUUUGGUGCACCAGCACAGCUCUAUCCUUGUCCAUUAGAGUAUGCUGUCCAUUGCAAUGUUUCAGCUGCUGAUUUGAAAACACUACACCAUUUCUUAAACAACUGCUAUUAGGUAGAGCUAAGAUGAUGAACCUCCUGCAAGAAAAGCAAGAAAAACAAAUGUAAAAGGAGCAGAUGGAGUAGAGCAGGUGUGAAAGUUUGACUCCAGAGAGACUGAUGGCAACAUACCAGCUGGAUUCUGCAUGACCAGACUUAAGAGUGCCUCCCAGCCCCGCCGCUUGUCUCUGGAAAAAAAUCUCACAUAAGCAGGAGGGAAACAACUUUGGUAUGGCAACUGCCAGAGCAAGACAGAGUGUCGCAUUUUCUCUCUGACAAAAUUUACUGUCAAAGCUUCUAUUCAGUAAACCUUCGACACCAACACUAAAGGCAAAAGUGGGAAAAGGAAUGCCUAAUAAAUGAAACUCAGGGACAUCACCAGACAACUUCCCAAGUCUCUGAAAGAUAUUCAGAAGGACCUAUCAAGGACUAACCCAAGUUUUUUCUGAUUCCUAAGAAAAUUUCUUUUGUAGGUAGAAAAUUGCUCUGCAUAGAUUACAUUCAAAGUGAUAAGUGUAAAUAUGCUGCAUCCAUGAUGCAAAUUUGCAGAAAAAAAAAUAACAUUAUUGUCUCCAAUUCUAGACCCAAACACUUGAAAGAUAGCAGCAGCAAAUUUUAAAGAGGUUAUAUUUUUCUGCCCUUCAGGUUUGGCUUGUUUUCCUGGGCAUGGCCACAGCUAAUAUUAGUGCUGGAUGAUGUCAUUUUUAGCAUAUAAUUUUUGCAGGGAAAGGAAUUCAGCUCCUGAAAAUAUCAACAAAAUGUGUUUGUUUUGUGUCUAUAGCAGUGCACAUGCACUAUGACAUUUAGGUCAUUCAACUUCUGUAACUUCAACACAUGCCAAUCUAUGUCCAGGCGUAGCCUGUAGUAAGAAUCACUGAAAUUUAAGAAGUGGAUAAACAAACUCAUUCGUUUAUUACCAAUAAGACAUCAAAUGCUAUGUCUUUUACAACCGAAAGGAGAGUAACAUUUUCUGUAGAGAUAAUUUUCACUUGGCAAGAAGGCAAAACAUUUACUGAAAUGCUAUUAUAUACCAGCCAUGAACAUAUACUGCAAAAAGAGAGUGAGCUUUGAUAGCAAACAACUUACUUUAGGUAUUAAAUUGAAGUUAAAAUGAUAGAGAGUUUGAUCAGUUUACAAAAAAAAAAAAAAAAAAAACAUUUUAAAUAUGGUCUAGUUAAGUAAAAGGCAUGACAAAUCUCUAUUAUCACCAAGCAGAAACUUAGAUUCCAAAAUGGCCCUGCUGCUCUCUUCAAUAGAGUUAAUGGUGGAGGAUCCUUAGAUAAAGAAGAUAGAAGAUAAAGAAUAUGAAGUGUCUUCAGCUAAAAGGCACCUAGCAGCUUCUCAAAGGCAGGAGGAAUUUGGAAACCCUGCUGAGGCAAUUCUUUGUUUCACUGUGGGAUGCGACCACACCACAGGCGUCUGCUUGCCUGUCAGACUCACCAUCCACACAUGUUUAUAUAAAAUGUUUAUUACUGUGAA